rnacentral:rRNA from 1 species
UACCCUAGUACACUUAAAUUUAAUUAGAAACAUUAGAAUAUUAAAAGUUAUGUUCUUUAAAUUUAAAAAAUUUGGCGGUGUUUUAGUCUAGUUAGAGGAACCUGUUUUAUAAACGAUACAACACGCAUUAUUUUACUUAUUUUAGUAGAUCAGCUUGUAUACCGUCAUUAUAAGAUAAUUUAAGAGAGAAUAUUAUUGAGAUCAUAUUAUUGAGUAUAUUAGAUCAAGGUGCAGCUUAUGAGUAAGAAAAUAUGGGUUACAAUAAAAUUUAUUUAAUAUGAAUUAAGUGUUUAAAUAUAUUUAUGAAGGAGGAUUUAAUUGUAAGAGGGGAGCAGUGAGCUUUUCUGAUAAAAGCUCUAAAUUAUGUACAUAUCGCCCGUCGCUUUCAUUUAA